rnacentral:rRNA from 1 species
UAUGGAUGGGUCUGCGGCCUAUCAGGUAGUAGUGGGUCUAAUGUACCUACUAGCAUACGACGGGUACGGGUUGUGAGAGCAAGAGCCCGGAGAUGGAUUCUGAGACACGAAUCCAGGCCCUACGGGGUGCAGCAGGCGCGAAAACUUUACAAUGCCGGCAACGGCGAUAAGGGAACCUCGAGUGCCAGGUUACAAAUCUGGCUGUCGUGAUGCCUAAAAAGCAUUGCAUAGCAAGGGCCGGGCAAGACCGGUGCCAGCCGCCGCGGUAACACCGGCGGCUCGAGUGGUAACCGUUAUUAUUGGGUCUAAAGGGUCUGUAGCCGGCCGGAUAAGUCUCUUGGGAAAUCCAGCAGCUCAACUGUUGGGCUUUCAGGAGAUACUGUCUGGCUCGAGGCCGGGAGAGGUGAGAGGUACUUCAGGGGUAGGGGUGAAAUCUUGUAAUCCUUGAAGGACCACCAGUGGCGAAGGCGUCUCACCAGAACGGACCUGACGGCAAGGGACGAAAGCUAGGGGCACGAACCGGAUUAGAUACCCGGGUAGUCCUAGCCGUAAACGAUACUCGCUAGGUGUCGGCCACGGUGCGACCGUGGUCGGUGCCGUAGGGAAGCCGUGAAGCGAGCCACCUGGGAAGUACGGCCGCAAGGCUGAAACUUAAAGGAAUUGGCGGGGGAGCACUACAACGGGUGGAGCCUGCGGUUUAAUUGGAUUCAACGCCGGAAAUCUUACCGGGACCGACAGCGAUAUGAAGGCCAGGCUGAAGACUUUGCCGGAUUAGCUGAGAGGUGGUGCAUGGCCGUCGUCAGUUCGUACUGUGAAGCAUCCUGUUAAGUCAGGCAACGAGCGAGACCCACGCCCACAGUUGCCAGCGUACUCUCCGGAGUGACGGGUACACUGUGGGGACCGCCGCUGCUAAAGCGGAGGAAGGAAUGGGCAACGGUAGGUCAGUAUGCCCCGAAUAUCCCGGGCUACACGCGGGCUACAAUGGUUGGUACAAUGGGUAUCUACCCCGAAAGGGGAUGGAAAUCUCCUAAAGCCAAUCUUAGUCCGGAUUGAGGGCUGCAACUCGCCCUCAUGAAGCUGGAAUCCGUAGUAAUCGCGUUUCAACAGAACGCGGUGAAUACGUCCCUGCUCCUUGCACACACCGCCCGUCAAACCACCCGAGUAGGGUUUGAAUGAGGGCGCUUCCUCUGGAGGCGUUCGA